AUUGAACGCUGGCGGCAGGCUUAACACAUGCAAGUCGAGCGGGGAAAUACAGCUUGCUAUAUGACCUAGCGGCGGACGGGUGAGUAAUGCUUAGGAAUCUGCCUAUUAGUGGGGGACAACAUUUCGAAAGGGAUGCUAAUACCGCAUACGCCCUACGGGGGAAAGCAGGGGAUCAUUUGACCUUGCGCUAAUAGAUGAGCCUAAGUCGGAUUAGCUAGUUGGUGGGGUAAAGGCCUACCAAGGCGACGAUCUGUAGCGGGUCUGAGAGGAUGAUCCGCCACACUGGGACUGAGACACGGCCCAGACUCCUACGGGAGGCAGCAGUGGGGAAUAUUGGACAAUGGGGGGAACCCUGAUCCAGCCAUGCCGCGUGUGUGAAGAAGGCCUUUUGGUUGUAAAGCACUUUAAGCGAGGAGGAGGCUUACUUAGUUAAUACCUGAGAUAAGUGGACGUUACUCGCAGAAUAAGCACCGGCUAACUCUGUGCCAGCCGCCGCGGUAAGAC
rnacentral:rRNA from 1 species